rnacentral:rRNA from 1 species
UACGGAGGGGGUUAGCGUUGUUCGGAAUUACUGGGCGUAAAGCGCGCGUAGGCGGACCGAAAAGUUGGGGGUGAAAUCCCGGGGCUCAACCCCGGAACUGCCUCCAAAACUGCCGGUCUAGAGUUCGAGAGAGGUGAGUGGAACUCCGAGUGUAGAGGUGAAAUUCGUAGAUAUUCGGAAGAACACCAGUGGCGAAGGCGACUCACUGGCUCGAUACUGACGCUGAGGUGCGAAAGUGUGGGGAGCAAACAGG